rnacentral:lncRNA from 13 species
CAGCUGCCAGUGAAUAUAAAGCAGGGAGAGAAACGUGAAAAACUGAGACAGGCCUAUCCUCCCAGUCUGCAUCUUUCUCCCGUGCUGGAUGCUUCCUGCCCCUGAACAUCAGACUCCAAGUUCUUCAGUUUUGGGAUUCUGACUCUCCUUGCUUCUCAGCUUGCAGACAGCCUAUUAUGGGAUCUUAUGAUCGUGCUUUCUUAGUUAAGCUGUCUUCCUGAGU